rnacentral:rRNA from 1 species
GACGAACGCUGGCGGCGUGCUUAACACAUGCAAGUCGAACGCUGAAGACCUGGCUUUUGUUGGGUUGGAUGAGUGGCGAACGGGUGAGUAACACGUGAGUAACCUGCCCUCUUCUUUGGGAUAACGCCCGGAAACGGGUGCUAAUACUGGAUAUUCACUGGCCUUCGCAUGGGGGUUGGUGGAAAGGUUUGUUCUGGUGGGGGAUGGGCUCGCGGCCUAUCAGCUUGUUGGUGGGGUGAUGGCCUACCAAGGCUUUGACGGGUAGCCGGCCUGAGAGGGUGACCGGUCACAUUGGGACGGAGAUACGGCCCAGACUCCUACGGGAGGCAGCAGUGGGGAAUAUAGCACAAUGGGCGAAAGCCUGAUGCAGCGACGCCGCGUGAGGGAUGGAGGCCUUCGGGUUGUAAACCUCUUUCGCUCAUGGUCAAGCCGCAACUGUGGGUUGUGGUGAGGGUAGUGGGUAAAGAAGCGCCGGCUAACUACGUG